CCUGCCUGGCUUCACCCAUGACUUCUUCCAGAAACUGUUUACCUGGACAGAGGCAGCUCCUGGGACCCAUGUGUGGGACUACAGUGCCCAGAUGUCUCCUGUCGGCCCCAUGCCUUAGAGAAGAGACUGGUCACAGCCAAUAGAAGUUGUGGCAGACACAGAGAAGAUGAAGACAUGGUGUGUGCUCUAAAGAAGCUUUUUGUCCAAAGCUACCUCUGUAAGGGGAGACCAGUCAGCUACAUGUGGACACAGCCGACUUCUUAAAAGCUUUUUCUCCUUCCUGCUGGCUGAAAUGCAGAUGUGAUGGCAAUGACAGAAGCAGCCAUCUUGGGCCAUAAUACAUCAAUAUCAACAAUUCGCAGAUAAAGAAACUACGAAGGGAGUGAAGGCAAUAAGCCAGAAGGAAAUGAGUCCUCAGGUUUUCAUGGAGCAAAGCCAUCAAGAUGUGGAUUACCUACUUUUGGACUUGAAUGCACAAGAAAAUUAAACCUUCAUCAUAUUUUAAGGCAUAAUGUUUUGGCUCUCUGUUACUCAUACCAAUUAAUAGACAUCAUCAUGAUUUCUUUGAAAAAGUCUAAAUUGGUAGUCAGAAGACUUGUUUUAUUUCUACUUUUGCCUCUAUUUUAUUAUGUGAUUCUAAGUUCUCCUGUUCCUAACCUAGAAAUUAGA